UUCAAACACUUGUUCCCGUGCGAUCCCUGAAGUUAAGCAACGUCCAUUCUGGUUAGUACUUAGAUGGGUGACCGCUUCGGAAUACC